UACGGAGGAUGCAAGCGUUAUCCGGAAUGAUUGGGGCGUAAAGCGUCCCGCAGGUGGCUAUGUAAGUCUGCUGUUAAAGAGUGAGGGCUCAACCUCAUAAAAGCAGUGGAAACUACAUGGCUAGAGUGCGUUCGGGGCAGAGGGGAAUUCCCUGGUGUAGCGGUGAAAUGCGUAGAUAUCAGGGAAGAAACACCCGGUGGCGAAAGCGCUCUGCUAGGGCCCGCAAC
rnacentral:rRNA from 1 species